rnacentral:rRNA from 1 species
CAGUCGCCACGGUAAUACGAAGGGGGCUAGCGUUGCUCGGAAUCACUGGGCGUAAAGGGUGCGUAGGCGGGUCUUUAAGUCAGGGGUGAAAUCCUGGAGCUCAACCCCAGAACUGCCUUUGAUACUGAAGAUCUUGAGUUCGGGAGAGGUGAGUGGAACUGCGAGUGUAGAGGUGAAAUUCGUAGAUAUUCGCAAGAACACCAGUGGCGAAGGCGGCUCACUGGCCCGAUACUGGCGCUGAGGCACGAAAGCGUGGGGAGCAAACAGGAUUAGAUACCCCAGUAGUCCCUGUCUCUUAUAC